rnacentral:rRNA from 1 species
AUUGAACGCUGGCGGCAGGCCUAACACAUGCAAGUCGAGCGGAUGAAGAGAGCUUGCUCUCUGAUUUAGCGGCGGACGGGUGAGUAAUGCCUAGGAAUCUGCCUGGUAGUGGGGGAUAACGUUCCGAAAGGAACGCUAAUACCGCAUACGUCCUACGGGAGAAAGCAGGGGACCUUCGGGCCUUGCGCUAUCAGACGAGCCUAGGUCGGAUUAGCUAGUUGGUGAGGUAAUGGCUCACCAAGGCUACGAUCCGUAACUGGUCUGAGAGGAUGAUCAGUCACACUGGAACUGAGACACGGUCCAGACUCCUACGGGAGGCAGCAGUGGGGAAUAUUGGACAAUGGGCGAAAGCCUGAUCCAGCCAUGCCGCGUGUGUGAAGAAGGUCUUCGGAUUGUAAAGCACUCUAAGUUGGGAGGAAGGGCAGUAAGUUAAUACCUUGCUGUUUUGACGUUACCGACAGAAUAAGCACCGGCUAACUCUGUGCCAGCCGCCGCCGUAAAAC